rnacentral:misc_RNA from 1 species
GUGAAUCAUCAAAUUUUUGAACGCAAAUUGCACUUUCUGGUAUUCCUGGGAGUAUGCCUGUUUGAGGGUCAUUUAUAUAUUAAUCGUUGUUGUUGCUGCUUGUCUUUGUGACGCGUCGGAGUUGAGAUUUCUUACCUUCGGUUAAGUGACUUAAAAUUUUGCAUGAUAUUCGAACGUAUUUAAAGUUCUUACGUACUAUUGAGAUAUCUAAUACUUUAUUUCUUUCGGCCAUUCACAUUGUUCGCACAUAUAAUU